CAGCAGCCGCCGCGGUAAUACGAAGGGGGCUAGCGUUGCUCGGAAUGACUGGGCGUAAAGGGCGCGUAGGCGGCGAUCAAAGUCAGGCGUGAAAUUCCUGGGCUCAACCUGGGGGCUGCGCUUGAUACUUGGUUGCUUGAGUGGGGAAGAGGGUCGUGGAAUUCCCAGUGUAGAGGUGAAAUUCGUAGAUAUUGGGAAGAACACCGGUGGCGAAGGCGGCGACCUGGUCCUUGACUGACGCUGAGGCGCGAAAGCGUGGGGAGCAAACAGGAUUAGAUACCCCUGUAGUCCCUGUCUCUUAUAC
rnacentral:rRNA from 1 species